CUGACCUUAGCUCAGUGGGUAGAGUGGUGGACUAUAGUUGGACUAAUCUAAAUUGGAAAUCCUUAGGUCGCUGGUUUGAUUCCGGCAGGUUGGA
rfam:Ipomoea nil DNA, scaffold: scaffold2701, cultivar: Tokyo-kokei standard.